CCUACGGGAUGCACCAGUGGGGAAUAUUGGACAAUGGGCGCAAGCCUGAUCCAGCCGUGCCGCGUGAGUGAAGAAGGCCUUAGGGUUGUAAAGCUUUUUCACCGGUGAAGAUAAUGACGGUAACCGGAGAAGAAGCCCCGGCUAACUUCGUGCCAGCAGCCGCGGUAAUACGAAGGGGGCUAGCGUUGUUCGGAAUUACUGGGCGUAAAGCGCGCGUAGGCGGAUAGAUAAGUCAGAGGUGAAAUCCCGGGGCUCAACCCCGGAAUUGCCUUUGAUACUGUUUAUCUUGAGUGCAGAAGAGGUAGGUGGAAUUCCGAGUGUAGAGGAGAAAUUCGUAGAUAUUCGGAGGAACACCAGUGGCGAAGGCGGCUUACUGGUCUGCAGCUGACGCUGAGGCGCGAAAGCGUGGGGAGCAAACAGGAUUAGAUACCCGUGUAGUC
rnacentral:rRNA from 1 species